rnacentral:lncRNA from 1 species
ACAUCUUAUAUUUGCUAAGAUCCUGAGCGACUCGAAGGUUUGGGCGAGAACAGGGUCACAGUUCUAGGCGACUGCAUGGCAAUCCAUUCGCUCAAAUCUUGGGCGACUUGUAACCUUGGACGAUGGUAUUACCGCGUUCAUGGGCUUCCCUAUUUGGGCCUUUAUUCUGCAUUGCCUGAUUGGGCCGUUCUUUGGGCUAUCUGAUUUGGGGAUCCUCCAAUUGGGCUUCAUUCCUUGGGCUUAUU